GACGAACGCUGGCGGCGUGCUUAAUACAUGCAAGUCGAACGGAAAGGCCCUGCUUUUGUGGGGUGCUCGAGUGGCGAACGGGUGAGUAACACGUGAGUAACCUGCCCUUGACUUUGGGAUAACUUCAGGAAACUGGGGCUAAUACCGGAUAGGAGCUCCUGCUGCAUGGUGGGGGUUGGAAAGUUUCGGCGGUUGGGGAUGGACUCGCGGCUUAUCAGCUUGUUGGUGGGGUAGUGGCUUACCAAGGCGUUGACGGGUAGACGGCCUGAGAGGGUGACCGGGCACAAUGGGACUGAGGUACGGCCCAGACUCCUACGGGAGGCAGCAGUGGCGAAUCUUGCACAAUGAGCGGAAGCGUGAUACAGAGGCGCCGCGUGCGGGAAGACGGCCUUCGGGUUGAGAACCGCUUUCGCCUGAUACGAAGCGUGAGUGACGGUAAUGGGUAAAGAAGCACCGGCUAACUACGUG
rnacentral:rRNA from 1 species